UGGGAGGCACAUCUGUUAAAAGAUAACACAUGUUUCCUAAGAUGACCUCAACCAGAACAAAAAUAUCAUGUGGAACAAAAGGGUAAAAUCUCUUUUGAUUUUGAUUUUUAGCACAAAUACAAACCGUGAAAGCAUGGCCUAUUAUGAAAAUGAAGUUAUUUUGGCCUUAGAUGGUGGUGCAUGUUUUCUCAAUGCGUAGCUUCAUUUGUAAUGCUA
rnacentral:ncRNA from 1 species